ensembl:lncRNA LINC01478 long intergenic non-protein coding RNA 1478
AUCACCAAACUGUUUUGAAAGAUAAAAGUACUUCCUGAAUAUGUGGAUGGUGAGCCACGUGAAUGGAAGACAUGGAGAUAUGGACUGUUAACACCUUGUCAAACAUUUAUUGUCCCUUCCACCUCUAAACUUCUGUGAUAAUAGGUGAACAGGACCCACGUGGUGCAGAAUACUGCGAUACACACUGCGGAAUAAUUCAGAACAACACGUGGAUUGCUCAGUACAACUUGUUCAUCACAUCCUCCUGUUCACUGAAGAAUUAUGGAAAUAUUCUCUGAGCUGCUUUCCUCCCUGCCCAACGAGUCAUCUCUGUGUGAAAGGCCAAGCUUAUAAAUCCUGGCAGGUCCCUGAUGCUGUUAUUCCUGACUGUGUGAGACCUCUGAACAGAGGGGAAGAAGCUGGCUGCAAUCUUUGCUGUUUCACGGCCUUCAUUUGUGAUACAUCCAGAAAACUGCAGCAGCCCUAUGAUAGAGUAGCCUGAUGGUUGAAAACAACAACAACAUCAACAAGAAAGACCCAACUAAAAUCUCAUUCAAAGAAGAAAGAGACAUUAUACAAAUGCAAGCUGUUGUCAC